GAUGAACGCUGGCGGCGUGCCUAAUACAUGCAAGUCGAGCGAACGGACGAGAAGCUUGCUUCUCUGAUGUUAGCGGCGGACGGGUGAGUAACACGUGGAUACCCUACCUAUAAGACUGGGAUAACUUCGGGAAACCGGAGCUAAUACCGGACAAUAUUUUGAACCGCAUGGUUCAAAAGUGAAAGACGGUCUUGCUGUCCCUUAUAGAUGGAUCCGCGCUGCAUUAGCUAGUUGGUAAGGUAACGGCUUACCAAGGCAACGAUGCAUAGCCGGCCUGAGAGGGUGAUCGGCCACACUGGAACUGAGACACGGUCCAGACUCCUACGGGAGGCAGCAGUAGGGAAUCUUCCGCAAUGGGCGAAAGCCUGACGGAGCAACGCCGCGUGAGUGAUGAAGGUCUUCGGAUCGUAAAACUCUGUUAUUAGGGAAGAACAUAUGUGUAAGUAAAUGUGCACAUCUUGACGGUACCUAAUCAGAAAGCCACGGCUAACUUCGUG
rnacentral:rRNA from 1 species